ACCCUCUAGAUUCCCUACCCAUCAGAUCUGAACAUUGGUCUGAGCGACUAUAAAAGGGAAAGGGAAACUGAAACAGACUUGGGUUCUUUUGUGACAUACAAGUUGGUUUCAAAGAAAC
rnacentral:snoRNA from 1 species